AGUGCUAAAAAUGGGCUGGAUUUCAAAAGCCAGUGCUGUCCAGAGAAAAGGCAGGGCUGGGCGCUGUCAGCCUGGAGUCUGCUUUCGUCUCUUCAGCAGGCUGCGAUUUCAGAAUAUGUUGGAAUUUCAAUCUCCAGAACUUCUAAGAAUGCCGCUUCAGGAGAUUUGUUUGUACACAAAACUUCUGACUCCAAUUAAUUGUCCAGUUGUAGACUUUCUUAUGAAAGCUCCUGAUCCGCCGCCUGCUGUAACUGUGAGAAAUGCUGUGCAUAUGCUUAAGGUCAGAGAAGGAAUAGGUUUAGAUGGUAAUUGUGUUUGAGCCCAAAUUUGUGGUGUAGCAGUCUGUCUUACUGACUUCAGUUUGUACUGAAGCCGUUUUUAAUUACCUAAGGAUGUUCUGAGUUUUUGUUUAUUGUCUGUUUUCAUUUUGUGUGUGGGAUGUGGUUUUCCAUGUCAAGGGAAGAGAGUGCUUUGAAGUCUUGUCUCUGUUAAUAGUUUCACUUGCUUUUUUAGUGUUUGGAAACAAGUCUAGUUAAUGUCCAGUAUUCACAUCCUUUCUGCUUUCUCUGUAA